CCCUUAGAUGUUCUGGGCCGCACGCGCGCUACACUGAUGCAUUCAACGAGUUUCUUCCUGGUCCGAGAGGAAUGGGUAACCUUUUGAAAGUGCAUCGUGAUAGGGAUAGACUAUUGCAAUUAUUGGUCUUCAACGAGGAAUUCCUAGUAGACGUAGUUCAUCAGACUGCAUCGAUUACGUCCCUGCCCUUUGUACACACCGCCCGUCGCUCCUACCGAUUGAAUGCUCAGGUGAGCCAUGCGGACUUUCAUCAUGCUGGUUUCCAGUUUUGAUGAAGGAAAGUCUUGCGAACCUUAUCAUUUAGAGGAAGGAGAAGUCGUAACA
rnacentral:rRNA from 1 species